rnacentral:rRNA from 1 species
UACGUAGGUGGCGAGCGUUGUCCGGAUUUAUUGGGCGUAAAGCGCGCGCAGGCGGUGGGUCAAGUCCGGUGUCAAAUCUCCCGGCUCAACUGGGAGGGCGCGCUGGAGACUGGUCCACUGGAGACAGGCAGAGGCCGGUGGAAUUCCCGGUGUAGUGGUGGAAUGCGUAGAUAUCGGGAGGAACACCAGUGGCGAAGGCGGCCGGCUGGGCCUGGACUGACGCUGAGGCGCGAAAGCGUGGGGAGCGAACCGG